CGGCAAUGAUUAUAACUUACCCGCGCUUCUGAUAUCCAUAUAUGUGAAGUACAAGGGAAAAUAAUGGUUGAAUUUCUUAAUAUGAGCCG
rnacentral:snoRNA from 1 species